GACGAACGCUGGCGGCGUGCCUAACACAUGCAAGUCGAACGGAGAUAUGAUUUCGGUUGUAUCUUAGUGGCGAACGGGUGAGUAACGCGUGAGCAACCUGACUCUUAGAGGGGGAUAACACCCGGAAACGAGUGCUAAUACCGCAUAAGACCACGACAUGGCAUCAUGACGAGGUCAAAGGAGCAAUCCGCUGAGAGAGGGGCUCGCGUCCCAUUAGAUAGAUGGCGGGGUAACGGCCCACCAUGUCAACGAUGGGUAGCCGAGCUGAGAGGCUGAUCGGCCACACUGGAACUGAGACACGGUCCAGACUCCUACGGGAGGCAGCAGUGGGGAAUAUUGGGCAAUGGGCGCAAGCCUGACCCAGCAACGCCGCGUGAGGGAAGAAGGCUUUCGGGUUGUAAACCUCUGUCCUUGGUGACGAAACAAAUGACGGUAGCCAAGGAGGAAGCCCCGGCUAACUACGUGCCAGCAGCCGCCGUAA
rnacentral:rRNA from 1 species